AUCCCGUGAUGGGGGACACUUUCUAAUAAGAUCCUUGAACCUCUCCCAAACAUCAUAAAGAGACUCACGGUCGAGCUGGUAGAAAUUAUUGAUCUCCCUUCUCAGCCU